UGUAUGAGUGUGUGUGUGUGUGUGUGUGUGUGUGUGUGUGUAAGCUUUAUGACAGGCUGUAGAACAAUGAUUCACAGAGAGACAAAGAUGAUACUCAGUUUAGCCUUAAUCAGCUGAUGCUGGGCCAGCUUUCUGGAGUCUGACCCCAGGUAGUAUAUUCUAGCCAUAUUUAACCUCAACCUCCUUUUGGAAACUAGUCUCUUGAUGACACUAAAUUCAGUCCGGUGCAUAAAACACAGCUUAAGACAUGUUUACAUCGAUGCUGCUCACAAAGUACAUAUGGCUUCUUCCAUACAGAUGGGUUCUGUCGUCUCAGAAGCAGUGCUGAAGAUAAGGAGCUAUGGAGAGUGACUGAGGAUUUCUCUAUGUAACCCUGGGUAUCCUGGAACUUACUCUUUGGACCUGGACUCGUGCAAGCUGGAAUUAAAGUUAUAAUGCCACCACUGCCCAGGUUUCUUUUAGGUUUCCAAUUCUUCUGUAGUCAAGUUCAUCAGGUGUUUCCCUCCAGGUCCCUGGUGGUUCUGUGAAAGUCCUCCUUCCCUGACUGUGAGGCUCGGGUUAGGGCUCUGUCUGUGGACAGGAGAAAAUGUGGCACGAAAGGUAUGCUGAGUCAGCAAAGUAGGAGAGGCUGUCCAUCAGCCUGCGAUCCAGCGA
rnacentral:sRNA from 1 species